GUGAAGAACGCAGCGAAAUGCGAUACGUAAUGUGAAUUGCAGAAUUCAGUGAAUCAUCGAAUCUUUGAACGCACAUUGCGCUCUCUGGUAUUCCGGAGAGCAUGCUUGUUUGAGUAUCAGUAAACACCUCAACUCCUUUAUUGUAGUUGGACUUGAGCUAUCCCAACAGGACUUUUUGUUCCUGGCGGGAGGCUUGAAAUGCAGGUGCAGCUGGACUUUCUUCUGAGCUAUAAGCAUAUUUAUUUAAUCCCUUAACACGGAUUAUUACUUUUUUGCUGCAGCUAACAUAAAGGUUGAAUUUCCAUUGAGCUGACUGAUGCAGGAAUUUGGCAAGGAAUUUUUUUAAUGACUUGUUAAACUCGAUCUCAAAUCAAGUAAGACUACCCGCUGAACUUAAGCAUAUCAAUAAGCGGAGGA
rnacentral:misc_RNA from 1 species